GGAAUUCCAGUGUACGUCAUUAGUAUGUGGGCCCAGUCAUCCUCCCUAUGGCACCCGAUCCGCAUGGAGUAGGGGGCCUUCGCACGUCAGCCCAGGAUAACACCCGACGCACGACAGGUCCAUGAUACAGCAUUCCAGGUACAAGAAUAUUCAUCAAAAACAUGUGUAUAUUAUUACAUCAGUGAUGAAUAUAAUCUUCUGGCAUAGCCCUAAGGCUAUUUACAUGGCAACAGAAGUCUAUUAAAAUGGUGGCGGAAGUCUUGGCAGCAUAUCACUCUGGAUGGGCUCCACAACUCACAAGACUGGCAAGAUUACGGCCUAGCAUGACGGAACAACGAACAAUACAUGCAUGACCUACAAAACUAGCAUGACACGCCAGGUCAGUACAUUGAAUGUACUUGCAAGACAACCAAAUACAUAGCAUCCAAACAAGCAGAAGACAAAGCAGGAACCAAGCGUAUGCAACAACCUAGCUCAUAUCAGAAACUAAGCAUGGCAUAAUAUCAACCGAAGACAUAAAUCAAACUAACCUCAUGGCAUCUACUAGUAUGGCAACAACAUGGCAUAGAAAAUUUAUUUCUAACAUGUCAACAGCAAAACAUAGCAUAUCAUCUCAAUCAUAUCAACCAAAGCAUGGCAUGGCAUCAUGAAACUAUGCUGAAAGUGAACUACCAAUCAUAUCAAAUGCAGACAUAGCAUGUUAACUGUAUGCAACCAUCUCAUGUUCUACCAUGGUUCUUUAAAUGCAAACAUAUUACUCAUGCAAUGCCACCAAACUUGUGCACUGAGUCCCUCGGACUCUCUUACCAACAGUGAUCACCUCAUUUCCUGAUCACAAACAGAGACAAACUCGUGAUCCUUAUGGCGAUCACAACCACAACCAAUACUAGCCCGUGAUCCUUACGGCGAUCACAACCACAUUAAUCAGCAUAAUUAUUUCAGGUUUAUCCUCCAUUUCGACCAAGACCCGACAGUGUACCCUACUACGAACUUCUGCCCAUGACCGAGGACGCGACUAUCGAUAGUUUAAAUACACUCUGCAGAGGUAGCGCACUGUACCCACACCACAGAACCCAUGGCCUCGUCAUCCCAUUCAGGUGGACCAACGGCGUUCCGACAAAACCGAUCUACUACGAUGACACUCUCCCGGCCACUCCGACUCACUCCCCUCUGGGCUAAGUCAUGGGUGGCCCUGUGUCUACCUAAAGACACCUCAAACCACCGUCGUGGCAAAACAUAAACGAUCCCCCACGGGGACAACAACGUGCAAAAUCCAACUAUUAGCACACAAGGCUUAUGUACGCCUACCUGAUCAGGGUAGCGCGCGCCCAUAACCUUCCCUCGUUGGAGGCACCGGCGAGAGGCACGACAAUAGACCGCAUUAGGGCCGUCCCAUACCGACAAAUGUGGUUGCACUAGAAAAGUUCGAUUUGGCGGCACUAUGACUCGAUCCCAUCGAUGACGGACGAGGUUUGUUAUCAUUAAGUCAUUUUAUUACCUUCUCCAUCAUCAUGAACAUGAAUGCAACAAUGAGCAUACAUCAUACAAAUGCUUUAAUAACAUAUCGAACUUCUCAAGUGAACAACUACAACAUAAAGAACAUAACAAUACCAAGUACUAACUUAUCCACGGUGUAUCAUAGCAUUUUAUAACGAUGACAUGAAAAUAAAGUAGAGUAGUGACAUGGCAUUAUAAAUAUCAACAUUCUAACUAUCAUGGCAAGAGAUAGCAUAAAACACAGGCAUGCAUGGUAAGCAUAACAGAAUAACUGCAGAUAAAAACGAUAAGCAAAAACUGCAACUACACACACAAGGUGCAAGCAAAGUCAACAUGCAAGUUCAGGGCUCAUGAUACGAGGUUGGCUUGCCUGGGGGUCAACAAAUACUCCGGGAAGAAGUGAGAAACGACCGCGCCGGAAAUAGUUCUCUCUCGGAGGGGGCUGUUUACGGACAAGGGCAAAGUGGUCAUUUUCAAUAUGUCAAACCAUAGUGAAAACGUUGGGAACGGAACAGGCUCGACGAGACGAAGACGUGGGCGUUGGAUUUACCUCAAUCGGAGUUACGGUUAAAAAGAUACGGACGUUUAAAACUUAGGGACUAAUCUGUAAAGAUACUUCUACAAACAGGUCCCUGGCAGUUUUAAACAGACGCGUCUUUUCUGAAAUACGCCUUCGAAUCAGGAAAACGGC
rnacentral:lncRNA from 1 species